AUGUCUACUUAACUAUAUCUUAUAAAUUCAAUAAUUUGUAAAAUGCAAUCUCUGACUGGGUAAUUUGUGCAAACAAUAAAUUGUUCAGUGAAGACUGGUGUAGGAAUUUAACUAACAAGCAACUGACAUAUACUACCCUUUUUGCAAUAUUGUGAAAUUGUGCCGAAAAGAAAAAUGAAAAUGAAAUGAUUUUUAAAGAAAGGAUGGCUAAGAUACACAUCAGCAGGUUUUUCCUUUGCAGUUGUUAAUAUUUUGAAUUGCUAGAAGUUUUUAAAAAUGUUUUUCGAAAAAGGGAAACAACGAUUGCUGACUGGUAAGAAAACAUUUCAUUUUUAGGAUAUCUUCAGUUUUAAACAGAUACUUGAUUAAAUAACAAGAAUGCUGUCCCAGAGAAAAUAAAGGAAAACAUCUUUAACAAAAAAGAAAUGUGUUCAAAUGUGUUUUGGGGACCAGUAAUGCCGAUUCUGUUCACCAGAUCAGAUAUAAGCAUAUACGAUUAUAUAUUGCAUAUCUUUGCUGGAACUAAGAAUUAUCAUUUAACAUUUAACAAGACAAGAUACAACAGAUGCAGGAACGUACAUUGUGGAAAGCCACUGGCAGCACAAACUACUUAUCAUUGGCGUAUCAAGGUUGAUACAGAAGAAGAUAUAAAGGGGGCAGAAAGCACAGUAAAUACCUACGAAUUGUGUCGAAACGUUUUUGACUGUGCGGUUAAAUGCCAACGUGAAAAUGACUGCUCGGGAACAAACUGGAUGUGCUUCGAAGGCACAACAGGAGGACUGCAAAAAAGAGCAUUGG